rnacentral:rRNA from 1 species
AUUGAACGCUGGCGGCAGGCCUAACACAUGCAAGUCGACCGAGUGGCGGACGGGUGAGUAAUGCUUGGGUAUCUAUCUUAUUGAGGGGGAUAACUCCUGGUAACUGUAGCUAAUACCGCUUACCCUCGGAUGAUCCCAUUUGGGAUUAGGUAGUUGGUGAGGUAAAGGCUCACCAAGCCGACGAUCUCUAGCUGGUCUGAGAGGAUGACAAGCCACACUGGGACUGAGACACGGCCCAGACUCCUACGGGAGGCAGCAGUGGGGAAUAUUGCGCAAUGGGGGCAACCUGACGCAGCCAUGCCGCGUGAAUGAAGAAGGCCUUCGGGUUGUAAAGUUCUUUCGGUAGCGAGGCGUUAACUACAGAAGAAGCACCGGCUAACUCCGUGCCAGCAGCCGCGGUAAUUC